UAAUAGCGUAUAUUAACGUUGUUGAUGUUAAAAGCUCGUAGUUGAAGGUCCGGCCUUAGGGUCUGUCUGGGAGGCUGUUGGAUUGGGUAAAACCAUUCUUUCAGUUGAAUAGACUUUUACUGUGAACAAAAUAGAGUGCUCAAAGCAAGCGAUAGCUUGAAUAUCUUAGCAUGGAAUAAUAGAAUAUGACUUUAUUCACUAUGUUGGUUUUUGUAAUAGAGUAAUGGUUAACAGGAACAGUUGGGGGCAUUUGUAUUUAAUAGUCAGAGGUGAAAUUCUUAGAUUUAUUAAAGACAAACUAAUGCGAAGGCAUUUGCCAAGGAUGUUUUCAUUAAUCAAGAACGAAAGUUAGGGGAUCGAAGACGAUUAGAUACCAU
rnacentral:rRNA from 1 species